CCUACGGGCGGCAGCAGUGGGGAAUAUUGGGCAAUGGGCGCAAGCCUGACCCAGCAACGCCGCGUGAAGGAAGAAGGCUUUCGGGUUGUAAACUUCUUUUCUCAGGGACGAAGCAAGUGACGGUACCUGAGGAAUAAGCCACGGCUAACUACGUGCCAGCCGCCGCGGUCAUACGUCGGUGGCAAGCGUUUUCCGGAUUUACUGGGUGUAAAGGUCGUGUAGGCGGGAAAGCAAGUCAGAUGUGAAAACCAUGGGCAGAACCUGUGGCCUGCAUUUGAAACUGUUUUUCUUGAGUACUGGAGAGGCUGACGGAAUUCCUAGUGUAGAGGUGAAAUGCGUAGAUAUUAGGAGGAACACCAGUGGCGAAGGCGGUCUGCUGGACAGCAACUGACGCUGAGGCGCGAAAGCGUGGGGAGCAAACAGGAUUAGAUACCCUAGUAGUC
rnacentral:rRNA from 1 species